CAACGCUGGGCGGCGCCACUCUCAGGUGAUCGCGUGUCUUCCAUACCGUCGAGUGUGUGCUUGUCUCGUGUCCACCGUGACGUCACGCCGUGCAGUGUGAACACCCGACGCGGCGCCGAGUGUGUCAUCCUGCGCGCCACUCCGCCAGUCGGUGUUCUCUGGGCCAGGUUGCCUUUCCCCACGUGCUGCCGCGGCGCUUCUUCAAGGUGACUUCAGCAUUCCACAGGUCGACUUCCAACUUCCAGCAAAGGAGGAGAGACUUGAAAAGCGAGAAAGCAAAUACAAGGAUCAAGGUAAGUGGCGGAAGUUGGUGGCCGCCGCUGCCUCGCCAUUGGACACCCCCCUCCCCCCCCACCUCCUUCUUCCCCGCCGCCGCCGCCGCCGUCUAGCCCGUGUGGCCUGUAACGUCAGUAGGCUUUCUUCAGGGGUCUCUUCGACGGCCCCAGCGGUUUGGUGGCGCAGGCGAAUUUUUUUUUAUAGUGGCUGCCAGUGCCGUGGCAUAUGACUUGCUUGGCCCAUGCUGCCCCCCAGUGCUCCUCUUGACUAAAGUUGCUGAAGUUGGGGUUGACCGAAGACCUUGGCAGC